rnacentral:rRNA from 1 species
AAUGAACGCUGGCGGCAUGCCUAACACAUGCAAGUCGAACGAAGGCUUCGGCCUUAGUGGCGCACGGGUGCGUAACGCGUGGGAAUCUGCCCUUGGGUUCGGAAUAACAGUUAGAAAUGACUGCUAAUACCGGAUGAUGUCGUGAGACCAAAGAUUUAUCGCCCAAGGAUGAGCCCGCGUAGGAUUAGCUAGUUGGGGGGGUAAAGGCCCACCAAGGCGACGAGCCUUAGCUGGUCUGAGAGGAUGAUCAGCCACACUGGGACUGAGACACGGCCCAGACUCCUACGGGAGGCAGCAGUGGGGAAUAUUGGACAAUGGGCGAAAGCUUGAUCCAGCAAUGCCGCGUGAGUGAUGAAGGCCUUAGGGUUGUAAAGCUCUUUUACCCGGGAUGAUAAUGACAGUACCGGGAGAAUAAGCUCCGGCUAACUCCGUGCCAGCCGCCGCGGUAAAAC